rnacentral:rRNA from 1 species
CAGUAGCCGCGGUAAUACGUAGGUGGCAAGCGUUGUCCGGAAUUAUUGGGCGUAAAGGGCUCGCAGGCGGUUUCUUAAGUCUGAUGUGAAAGCCCCCGGCUCAACCGGGGAGGGUCAUUGGAAACUGGGAAACUUGAGUGCAGAAGAGGAGAGUGGAAUUCCACGUGUAGCGGUGAAAUGCGUAGAGAUGUGGAGGAACACCAGUGGCGAAGGCGUCUCUCUGGUCUGUAACUGACGCUGAGGAGCGAAAGCGUGGGGAGCGAACAGGAUUAGAGACCCCCGUAGUCCCUGUCUCUUAUAC